AGUGAACGCUGGCGGUAGGCCUAACACAUGCAAGUCGAACGGCAGCACAGUAAGAGCUUGCUCUUACGGGUGGCGAGUGGCGGACGGGUGAGGAAUACAUCGGAAUCUACUUUUUCGUGGGGGAUAACGUAGGGAAACUUACGCUAAUACCGCAUACGACCUACGGGUGAAAGCAGGGGAUCUUCGGACCUUGCGCGAUUGAAUGAGCCGAUGUCGGAUUAGCUGGUUGGCGGGGUAAAGGCCCACCAAGGCGACGAUCCGUAGCUGGUCUGAGAGGAUGAUCAGCGACACUGGAACUGAGACACGGUCCAGACGCCUACGGGAGGCAGCAGUGGGGAAUAUUAGACAAUGGGCGCAAGCCUGAUCCAGCCAUACCGCGUGGGUGAAGAAGGCCUUCGGGUUGUAAAGCCCUUUUGUUGGGAAAGAAAAGCAGCAGGUUAAUACCCCGCUGUUCUGACGGUACCCAAAUAAUAAGCACCGGCUAACUUCGUG
rnacentral:rRNA from 1 species